UACGUAGGGUGCGAGCGUUAAUCGGAAUUACUGGGCGUAAAGCGUGCGCAGGCGGUUCUGAAAGUCAGCUGUGAAAGCCCCGGGCUUAACCUGGGAAUGGCGGUUGAAACUACAGGACUAGAAUCUGGCAGAGGGGGGUGGAAUUCCACGUGUAGCAGUGAAAUGCGUAGAUAUUGGGAAGAACACCGAUGGCGAAGGCAGCCAUCUGGACCGACACUGACGCUGAGGCGCGAAAGCGUGGGGAGCAAACAGG
rnacentral:rRNA from 1 species